rnacentral:lncRNA from 1 species
CCUCAUUUAAUGCAAUCUCCAUUACAGGAUUAUGAUCACAUCAAUAAAAUGCUCCAUAUGGUUUUUAUUUUGGGUUUUUUUUUUUUCCAUCCCUCUCCCUCUCUCAUUAAUACCAGGCACUCCAUCUAGAAAAAAAUAAAAAACAAACAAACAAACAAAAAACCAUAAAAGAAAAAAAAACCCAAUACCACAAAAUACCACCCCACCAAAUCCAACAGGAUGAUAGGAUGCUCUAGGGAGGUUGUGGGGGGUACAAAUUCAACACAAUGUAACAGCCAAUGCAAACUGCCCAUCAGAGGCUGAGCCCACAGAUCUCCUCAUUCCUGAGCUAUGCAAGUUAGCUCUGUCCUCGCUGUGAGCACAGAUCGUAAAACAUUAUGUUAGCAGACUAAAAAUAAAUAUAUAUUUGCAAUCACUUGCCAGCUCCAUGUGCUUCUCACAAGAACAUUUUACUCGAUCGGUUCCAUCCUAUUAAUCCUGCUGUGAACGAACUGCUGGAGGGGGAUACUGGACAUGAGCUCUAAUAUGAAAGGAUGCGAAAAUCCCUCUUUUCCCCAAGCCCCCUUCUUACCUUCAGUGCCGUGGCUGCAAAAGAUAUCCCUAUGCACGGGCUUCUCAGCACAUCACCACGGCGGUUAGAAUAGCGAAGGCUGCCCCACUGCAUGCAAGUUGGAGUGCUUUGCAACAGCAAAUCCUCGAUCCAGAACACAAGCUGCUUCUUCCCGUGCAGUGAACCGAGCACGAUUCAUAAGCGACUUCCACAUAGGGAACAAAAUAGUAAAAGAAAGAGGGGGAAAAAAAGAAAAAAAAAGAAAAAAAGAUUUCCUAACUUUUGGGUAAGCCCGAGUUUGUUUUAUUUUUGUUGGGUUUCGUGAAUCAUUUGCUUUUGCAGCUGGCAAAAGGCUGGAAACGCGAUCGCGCCCUGGAAGCCCCGCACCGGUCCACAGAGGUCCUGCCGCCUAACCUAAGUUGCGCGGGGAGACUUUGAACUCCGUGCCGCUGGGCAGCUCAGCCGGCAGCGCCCGGCCGUGGGCUGGGGGAGAGCGGAGCCGGGUCCCGCCGCAGGGCAGCCGCCGCCACUGGGCGCUCGCCUCCUCCCGGCGGGGCGGGCUGCGGGCUGCGGGCCCGGCGCGGCCGCUGCGGCGCCCCUGGGGGCGCGGAGCUGCGCUGCCGGCGUCGCCCCGGAGCCCGCGCUGUCCCGGCGGCGGCGGCGGCUCCGGCUCGGCACUGCCGCGGCCGCCCGCGCCCCGCUCUGCCGCUGCCAGCCGGCCCUCCCCGCGGCUGACAUCAGCGCCAGGAGGAGGAGCGACGCCGGGGAUGCGAAUAGCCGAGCCGAGGGGGGUUCCCCCUCCCGGCACCGCCCUGCCUUCUCCUCUCGGAGAAUCCCCCGAAAGCGGCGGCACGGUCGCUCCGCCGCCUCGGCAGGGGGCAGCCCCCCGGCUCCGCCGCCGCCCCCGGGCCGAGCGAGGGGCCGAGGGGCCGCCCUGGGGUCGGGGCUGCCGGGCGGGACCGGCCCCCUGACCCGCACGAGGCCGUGGAGCGGAGCGCGGCGCUGCCAGCGGGGGGCGGCGGGCGACGGGCGGCGGGCGGCAGCGCCCUGCGGAGCCUGCUGAGCGAGCGGCCGUACCCGCCGAGGCAGCCCCGCGCCCGGCCGCCCCGCACCACCCGCCGACCCGCGGCUGCGGCCCCGACUGCGCCGCCCUGCGCCCGGCUCCCCGCCACCGAGCCCGGGGAGCCGAGAGGCGUGCGGCGGGGCCGUCGGCCGAGCCCCACAGCGCAGCGGGAGCGGCCGCGGGGCCGGGCGGGGGGCGCCGAGCAGAGGCCGAGGAGCUGCGGAGCGCGAGGGUCCGGCGGUAGCGGCCGGAUGGCGCCGGGAGUCCGAUGGCACGGGGAGGCGGAGCGGGUCGCGGUCUCGGGGACAAACGAGGGGGCGAGAGGAGCGCGGCCGCGCCGCUGCCUCCACCCGGGAGCCGGCGCUGGGGAGGCGGAACCGGGGAGCGGAAUCCCCGCAUCGCCUCCCGCGGACUCGGUGCCGGCCGAGCCGGGACGUCCCGAAGCGCUCCCGGGAGGGGCAGCCCCGGCACCGUCGCCCCGCGCUCGGGAACCGCUGGCCGUGCCCCGGGGCGACAGCCUCUGCCAAAGCCGUAGGGUCUGUGUGCGGAAAGUGCCACGUGUGAGUGUGUCGGUGAGUUCUGCCGUUUAUGAGUGCUAGCGUGAACGUACAUUUUAAUUAAUACCUAAUUUGCUGCAUUUAUUUUAAUAAUUUGAGUAUCUUGAAGUAUUUGCACUGUUUUGCCAAAUGCUUGCAGUAGGCGCUUCAUAGCAAACACAAUAAUUAUUUGUAACUAAUUUAGCAUUUUCUCUGUACUUUGCAACUGGAUUUGAACUCUUUCUUGAUGAACAAGACAAGAAAUUGCACUUACCCUAACAGCACAAAAUUUUACGUGUCCUUCUUUAAAAAUGGUGUGAAAAUGUACACAAGAGCUUUAAUUCACCUUGUUCACCAAAGCAGCGGGUAGGUAACGUCUCAAUUUAUAGCUAAAUGUAGCUUCAACAACACAAUUUCUCUGAAAAAAAAGAAGAAGAAGAAGAAAGAAGUAUCUAAGAGAGAGGAGAGCUCUAACAGCAGCCUGUAAAAAUCCCCAGUCAUUCGGUGAACUGUAUCCAUUUUUACUUGUUAACUCAUACAUUCAAUGAGAUUCCUUGAAUAUGGACCUGGAGUGAACAAUUGCAUGGCCAUUAACCAUGCCAAACUGCUACAGAACAGACGUAAUUCCUUUUCUUCUAGGUUAUAUUUCCCUGUUGUAUUUCAGUUGCCUGAGUUUGAGCCAUGGUAUUUUGCCACACUGGGUGCUAUAUUCUAUGAAUGCAGCGAAUUGGCUGUCGCUUCAUUUUUUUGGUGCCAUAUAUAUAGGGAGCAGAGGUGCCUCAUUUUGCACGAACAGAACAUUACCCACAACCAGGAGUUGGUGUCCCAGCUGCAGUGCAGAGCAGUGCUCAGUGCCCACAAGCCGCUUCCACUUCUUUACCAACGUUUCUGAUUUUCUUCAAUACUGUGUGAAAUAAACAUAUGGGAACAACAGCAAAAGGUCAAAAUAUGAGAGCAGUGUGCAGCUACGUUUGGUGCACAUCGUGAUGGUGGCAUACAGAUUAAUAGUGGUUGUCAGUCCUUUUAAUACCUGUUUCACUUGGCUGUCAUUACAAUGAUUUCUAAACCAGUCAAGUCCAUGAAGGCGUAUUCUACCAGACAACAGUUUUGCACUUAUAAAGAGUCAAGAGAUAUCUGGACACGUGACCCCUCUCCUAGUAAUACGUUCAAAUAAAAAUUGUUAGUUGAAUAUAUGCUUUCCUGAAAGAAGUUUGAUUAUUACAGGGAGACAUACUGGCCUACAUGGUGGUUUGUCCUGAGCCAGAGCGCUCAGCCACAGGAGCGGCAGCUGUUCCCAGAAGGGAAGCAGGCAGUGUGCCGGGGUGGGUGGGUGCCUCACAGUGCUACUUGAGGAUGAGCUGCCAUGGAUCCAACAGUUCUGUUUGAACUAUGUUUGAAAUACAUAGCCAAAAGUUGAAGAUAGUGAAUGCUGUUAUUGCAGUUAAAAGUAACUUAAAAAAAAAAAAAUAGCUCAAGGCAUUGAUGGCUCACGUAACCGAUUUGGGAGGCAAACUGCUACCUCUAAAAAGGACAAACACCCUCAACAAAACAAAAGAGGUUUCUCACUUUUAUGAGGAGGCAAAGGCAGGGUAGGAUUAACUAUGUCCAUGUAGCAUCACUUUACUAAGGACGAAAAUAUUUCCUCAUAUUGAAAGGUAUUGCCGCUACCCUUGAUUCAGAUCAAGGUCUAAAUCCUGCAAUUGCUUGUUACUCUAAGCACAUGAGGAGGCCCCACAGGAACUAUUCACAUGUGAAAAGAGCUAGGACCAGAGCCAAAGUUUUGCAUACUGUGAAGGUCAAGCUUGCUUCCUUUGUAAGACUUGUACUUCAGAGAAAAACUCUCAGAAAUAUGGUUUCCAUACAGAAACUUCAGCUGAUUCUUCUUCUUCAGUUGUUGGGGAGGAUGCUGUAUGUGCGGUGGCUGAUUUACAGCGUUUUGUGUAAUUCUGGCCCCUGUGACUACGGUGCUGGCUGGCUCCAGGCACUGCCUUGCAGCUCUGGGAGCUGUCCCUGCCUUUCCCGGAUUGCUGUUUCUAUGUUUUCUCUUCACACUGACUUUUUGUAAACUUCUCAGAACAAAAGGAGAAAAGCCUCAUAGAUAUUAUACAACUGUUGGCUUUAGAGCUGUUAUAGAAUAACCUCGUAAUAAAAAUGCACUGGCCAUGCAAUGAAUUCUCAGCAUUUUUCCAAAGGUCAUACAAAAUAUAUUGCUUGAGCGGCCGUACUUUGGCCACUCAGAUAAGUCAUGGGGAGACCACAGCAGAUGACAGUCUCCAGGAAAUACUGUAAUUCACUUUUAUGUCUCUAUGAAGGAAAAUAAGAGACAAAGCCUUCCCCUGACUACUGGGGAGGGGGUAUAUGUGGAGACUGGCAUAGAGAACAAAAGGGAGCUACUUUUGCAAGUGUGACAGAUAAGGUUGGAGGUCUUUCUGCUGAAGGCCUUGCGUAGCUUUGCUUUGUUUCUUUUUGUUUCUCUUCAGAGCAACAGAAGAACGCAGAAAACAAAUUGUAGCUGCACUUUACUACAUCUUUUAACAGGAUUUUGCCUCAAUCCCAAGUUAUUUUCUGAGCACAUAUUUGAAAAUUAGUUUCCAUUUUCUCCAUUUUCCAUCAUCCUCAUUUACUGGAAAUGUAAAAUAAAUCUCACUUGGGAUCCCUGAGCAUGAGAACCGCUUUUACUUCUGCUUUUUGAUAUUACAUAUUCCCUAGUUUUACCUUUUGUAGGGGCAAUCCUUACCUGGGUUGCACAAUACUUCGUAAAUGACAGUUGAUACUCUAUCUGGACUUAACAUUGAAUACAGUUGUUCUUUUAGAGUUCCCUCCUUUGCAGUGAACUAUAAUUUAUAAUAGCCGAGCAACUUUUCUAAAAUAUUCGUAGAAAAACUAUUUUUGCUAAGAAACUUACAAAUCACUUUUUUUUUUCCCCACUCAGAUUCAUAAAUGCCUAAAAUGCAAGCUAGUUGAAAACCUAACUUCAGAGGAGCUGGAGCAGAACAGCUAUGAAACAUUCUGCUGCAAUCGUGUCUUUACACCACUGAAAAUAUUGCUAUCCAGUAUCAAAUGAAUACAGUAUAAAUUAGAAAUAUCAGACAUAUACAGCUACAGCCACAAAUCUAGAUGAACGACUGCCAAAUGGCAACAGGUACAUAUUCCUGUCAUUCCAAGAGCUGGAGACACCACACAUCUAAAGCCAAUAUGUAGGCAGUUCAGACUGUAUGGCUUUAGUAGGGUUGUGCUUUCAUGAAACAUACCUCGCUGAGUGACAGCCAGGCACCAGAGGUGGUUACUGUCUUGCAGGAUUGUUGCCAAAACGAUUACAAUAUGAAACUUAAGAAGUCCAAUCCCUAACAGCAGGAGGUAGAACAUACAAACUUCAUCAUCCCAGUUGUCGAGUGACAGUGUUUUAUAAAUGUCAUGAAUAAUGUAUAAAACAACUUAUUUUUUUGUACUGAACAUUUUGAGAGUUCAUGCACUCACACCGGAAGGGCAUGCUUUGGAAUGGGAAUGCGAGACGAGAGGCUAGAAAGAUUCAAAGCUGAACACAGUGCACACAAAGGAAUUUGUGAACCCAGCUCCCUGCUUAAUUACUCAAGAGCUGGUCAGGAGCCAUGCCAGCAACAGUACCACUGCUAUUUUAGCUGACUUAAAUGAGAUAAAAAUCAGACUGAGUCUCUAGCUUAGGAAUUCCUGCAUACCUUUCGUACAAUACAUAUUUGUCAUGUCUUUGAGAAUAAUAAAUUAUUUUAUUAAUAAAAAAAUGCUCAAAGCAUUCAUUUAAAUUAAUUUUAUAAACUUAACAAGUGUUACUCUGUGUUCUCUGCAUUUUUAAGAGUGUUUGGGGAUUUAUGUCUUGUAAAAUAGAAACAAACUAGGAAAACUGAAAUAUAUUGUGUCUUUUGCUGUACUUUACAGCACAGCUUGUGUUUAAGAAGCAGUCUAGACAUGUAAAAAUGCUAGAAUAAACAAUAUUUUUUUUCAUUAUUUUAAAUUAGCUUGUACUGGAAAGCUAUAAAUUUCAGAAUGAUGCACACUAGAAGGAUUACAUACCUUUCCAAAUAUUCAAAACAAAAGAUACUAAGAGGCGAUUAUAUUACCUGCUGUUAUAAAUACAAAAUCCCUUCAGAGUUAAUGCAAUUACCAGUGAUUUCCUAUAAAAGAAAAAGAAAUAAUAACUUUAUUUCCAAAUAACUUCAGGAUAUUUAAUUUCGGAUUAUGAAAAGUCACACUCUGGGUGUUUCUCUUUUUUUUCCCAUAUUGUAGUCUGUUGUUUAAUCAUUUCAACCUACAAACAAAAUUAAAUAUUAUUUAAUACUCAUUACAGGUCUUCAAAUAUCAGUUGGUCUUAAAUAUUUUCUCUCUCUCUUUUUUUUUUCUUUCUAGUUUCAGCUGAGUUUUGCAUGCAGUUGAAGAACAAUAUUUGUCAUGAAGAUUUCAUCUAAGUCUUCCUUGAAGCAGAAUGAAUUCCAGACUCGAGACCUCAUCUAAAUCAAACUGGAAUCUGUAUUAAGCUCAGAGUACAUUUUCAUUGUGUUUAUGUUCUACUUAUUUUUUUUUUUUAUUUUUAUUUUGCUGGCUGAAAUUAGCAUGUAUGGAACACCAAGUGUAGGGGACUGAGCUGUAUUCUUCUCUCCAGGAUAGUAAGUAAGUAAAUGAAAAAAUAAAUGAAAGAAAACAAAUCACAGAGUGAAUCUACAUGACUAUGGUAUAUCUGCAUACUUUACAGUACUGCAGGUUUAUAGCUGAGUUUCUGCAGGAUUAUUUCCUUCUACCUACAACCCAAUAGACUAUGACAGUACUGAAAAUUUCCAAGGAACCAAAAUUGGUAGGCCAUGAUGAACAAAAGUCUGAGGCAAGCACACUGGCGGAGAAUCUGUGCAAAUAGUUCUUGCUGUGUACUGCUACAAAGUGCUUAAUAAUUCCCAUUCCAAAGAUUGCUGUAUAAUAGUAGCGAGUGAGGUUGUUCAAUUGGAAAAUGCUUGGGAUUGUUUUGGAAGACAGAGUUAUGCAGAAAUGCAUGGCACUGAGAUAUAGAUUCCUUUCCUUCAAUUUAUAUAACAAGAUGUUUCUUAUUAAGUUUUUCACAGGAUUAUGUAACACACCUUUCAAAACAAGAGCAUGAAGAGGUAUAUUGACAAGAAAAGCUAACAUUUCCCCUGGUCAUAACUGGAUGUCACAUUGAUGGUCAGGUUUGGAAACACCACCAGUCAGUAAUUAACAAACAGGAGCCUGCAUUCAGUUUGCCACAUGGGAACAGUGUAGAUUACUGUAUCACUCUUACCUGACUUUUGUUUGACCUCAUAGGACAUUAUGGUCUAUCAUUUAAGUCUUGGCUAUUACUCAUGGAUGCUAUAUCUGCCUGCUGAAAAUAUAGUUCUGCCAAACAAAAUCUGAAAUUGCAUUUAUGUGUGGUUUUUGUUUUUCAUCAAAACAUCACCUGUACUUCUGUGAAAUAUGCAUAAAAGUUAAAUCAUGAGAUACGUGCAGGCAGAAAAUUCCUAUUCAGAACAAAAAUCAUUAAUAAUAAUGAUAUAUAGCAAAUAAUUUUUCGAUGGUAACUUCCUCUUGUUUCUAGAGUUACUUUUGUAACUGCUGAACAAAUAUCUAUAUUUGUUAUCCUCCUGAAUGCAGAGAAAAGUGGGCUAUCAUUUACUCUUGCUAGAUGCUUUGAGCUCUCUCAGAGAGCAUGUGGUAAACUGAAUGCAGGCCCCUGUUUGUUGUUUACUGACUGGUGGUGUUUCCAAACCUGACCACUAAUGUGACAUCCAGUUACGACCAGGGGAAAUGUUAGCUUUCUCUAUGCCAGUUUAUGUGGAACAAAUCUAAUAUAAGAAGUUAAUAAAACUCACACUGUUAAAAUGCUUAUGAAGAUUAAAGACAUGCUUGUAAAAGGUUUUUGAGAUAGUGUAAAAAUACCAAUGGGUGGUUAUGGUCGGCAACUAUUAGAACUGGAAAGAAGACUUUAGAAUCUUAAUGAUAGAGAGAAUGUAAGUUAUAGGUACACCCAGUAAAGUGGCUGUGUGUUGAUCACAUUAGGGUGUUCUGUCUUACUGUGUCACAAAUUAAUACAAAAAGUGAUGUGCAGUAUCAAGCAGUAAAUAAUUUAGAGUGAUUUUUGUGUGGAAGUUUCCCAAUCAUCCCACAAAGAAUGCUCAGCAUUUUUUGAAAAUCAAGUGCCUUUAACAAUAUCAAGCAAGGGAUGCACUAGUGCUAUUCAUUUUUAACAUCAAAGCUUGUAUUUCUACUGGUUUAUCAGUUUUCCAUUUAAUAGAAGGAAGAAAGGCUUCUUGCAUAUGAAACUGCUGCAAAAUAUGUUUCCCCAAACAGUGUACAUUGAAUAAUAUUUUAACCCACUGCAAAACCAGUUUAAUUUAUUGAAAAUGUGAUUACCAUUAUUCAAAAAAAUAUGCAAGAUGUAAAUAAUUUAUUUAAUGAAGAAUUUGAGGUGAUUUUGUAUGGCUAUCUGCAGAUGGCUGCAUUUCUCAUAGCAGAAUCGCUAGAGGGAGUCAUAGGCAAUGAUACUCCUUCAGGAUCUCAAACAGGUUUGCAACUGAAAAAUUAGAAGAGGAUUUUAGGUAAUAUUUAGCAGAAAAAGAAUACCAGAUAAUUGUAAUCUCUGUAAUUUAAUUUCGCUCUCUAGUUACUGAUUAUUAAUGAAACUAGUUUGGUCUCAGAAGACACCUAUAGCAAAUCAUGAUUUUGCAUAAGAAACAACCACAACAAACCAGCAAGAUAGAUGUCCCACAUAAGAAUUUAAAUUAACAUAUUUUUCAGUUAGUAUUAACGUGGGUGCAGUGCUGAGAAUGUGCUCACAGGAAUUUUAGAGCAAAUAGCAAAAGAAAAAUCAAACAUGAAUAGAAAUCAGUUAAAAGUGUAUUUGUCAGUCAUUUUUACCAAGGUUUCUGCACCUUUGUCUAAUUAAGUUUAGCCUAGGGCCUCCUUUGCUUUUAUGUUUAAUAUGUAGAUUUCAGUGCAGUAGAACAAAACUAGUUUUAUUCAAGAUUUAUGUAGCAGUAGGACAAAAAGGCUCAUUGGGAAAUAUAUACAUAUAUUGAAUUUUUGCUGUCCUAAGUAAUUUCCACAUUGAAUCCAAGCUGUGGAUUCACAACAUUUCUCACAACUAGGAGAACUAGGAAAAGAAUAUGGUUCUCAUCCUUAAUCCUAGCAAGUUUUGAAUGCAAUGAAAUGAUAUGCUGAUCUACUGUGAUAUUUUGUAGAUAAAACAUUUGAUUUAUAAUAAGGCAAUCAUCAAAAAGAUAUAUAUCUGUAUAUAUAUAUAUAUAUAAAUAUAUUUUUUUUAACACAAGUUUUCCUAACGAAGUCUAUGACAUCAAGCUGCGUGGUGCAGUCAACACUCCUGAGAGAUGGGAUGCUAUCCAGGGAAACCUAGAGAAGCUUGAAUAGUGAGCCCAAGAGAGCCUUAUGAGGUUCAACAAAUCCAAGUUCAAGGUCUUCUACUUGGGUCUUGGCAACCCCCCACUAUCAAUACAAGCUGGGGAAUUAAAGGAUAGAGGACAGCCCAGCCCAGCCUUGUGAAAAGGACUUGGGACACUGGCCGAUGGUAAGCUGAACAUGAGCCAGCAAUGUGCGCUCACAGCCCAGAAAGCCAACCAUAUCCUGGGCUGCAUCAACAGCAGUGCGGUCAGCAGGGAAAGAGAGGUGACCCUGCCCUCUACUCUGCUCUGAUGUGACCUCACCUGGAGUGCUGUGUCCAGAUGAGGAGUCCUCUGUACAGGAGAGAUGUGGACCUGUUGGAGAACAACCAGAGGAGAGACACAAAAAUAAUCUAAGGUAUAGAACACCUCCCCUAUGAGGACUAGGAGAGCUGGGGCUGUUCAGCCUGGAGAAUAGAAGGCUCCGGGGAGACCUGAUAGUGGCCAUUCAGUAUAUAAAGGGAGCUAUAAGAAAGAAGGGGACAGAUUAUUUAACAGAGUCUGUUGUGACAGGACAAGGGGAAAUGGUUUCAAACUAAAAGAGGGGAGAUUUAAAUUGAAUAUAAGGAAAAAGUUUUUACAAUAGGAUUUGUGAAGCACUGGAACAGGUUGCCCAGAGAGGUUGUGAGUGUCCUGUUCUUGGAGACAUUCACGGUCAGGUUGGAUGGUGUUCUGAGCAACUUGAUAUAGCUGUAGAUCAGCCUGUUAUUUGCAGAGGAACUGGACUUGAUGACUUCUAAGGGUCUCUUCCAACUAAAAUGAUUCUAUGACUCUAUAAUUGGUAGCUACCAAUAUAGCCUGAAGAUCUUAAGUUAGCACUCAUCCAGUGAAAUUAGAGUGUGCUCCUUUUUGGAGUCUAAUAAUAAAUGCAGUUUAAAGUAACAAACAACUUUGUACUUGUGGUACUUCAUAACACUGAAGCACAGCUUGUUUCCAAAAGAUAGCUACUUACAUUAGCUACUUGUUUGAAAAGAAUAUGAGACAAAAAAUGUACUGGUGACAAUUUUCUUAAGUGUCGUAGGUAUACAGUUUAAAAAUAUGUGUAAUUAGCUGUACCCCAAUGGCAUUUAUGGCUGUGAUGCUUUUUUACAGACAUAAUCAUGGUAAUAAAAGCCCUAGGAGUUGAUCUGGUGCAAAAAGGAUUCAUCUGAACUCCUGAAUUUAAACUAUUUUUAAACUCAUGUUAAUCAAAGAUUUCUAUGCUUUCUUAUUUUAGCUGUAUCAGUAUACACUGCCAGACUCAAGCAACUUAUUUUAGCCUAAGCAUUUAAAUUUCAUAAAAUUUCUCUAAAAAUUAACUGGAAAAUAAAAACAGGUCUACAGAGUGCUAAGAUAGUGGUGUUCAGAGUAGUGCAAGUGGUGUUAAGAGCUGUUGGACAAAAAAAUAGAUAUCAAGACACUUCUCAGCUCCUGUAUUUGUGUUCAGUGGAUUAGAUCAGAGUUUUAAAUUUUAAUCCCAUAUAUGACAUGAGGCCAAUUCCUAGAGAGAAACCUUUUGCUUUUACUUUGGAUUAAAUGUUGCUGAGUUUUUCUCAUAUUCGUAGCUGUGUUAUUUGGAACUGUUUCACAGAAUCAUAGAAACAUAGAGUCGCUCAGGCUGGAAAAGACCAACUGCAACCUAACUGUACUACCCUAACUGAAAUGGGAAGGGAUCUCUGCAUCCAACUGGUCCAACUCCUGUUCCAGAAGGGCACUUAGAGCAUGCUGCCCAGGACCAUGUCUAGGUAGUGUUUGAAGGUCUCCAAGGUGGAGUCCCCACAACCUCUCUCUUUGCCCUCUCCCUUCAACUAUUUGUACACAGUGAUAAGAGCCUCUUCUCCAGGCUGAACAGUCUCAGCCUAAAGCGUAUGGAAUAUGACCAUAAUUUGAGAAGAGUAAUCUAACUGCCUAAAAAUGCAUAAGAUAAGCUCUGAUUCCAGCCCAACAAUGGAUCUUUGGUAUAACUUAGAAAAAAAAUGCAAUUUCUUCAGUUUUGAAUUUUAUAAUUAAGAAUAAAAAAUGAAAAUAGUCCAUAUUUACCAUUAUUUUCAUUUACCACCUUCACUGUUAAUGACUUUAUAUAUACAGCUCAACAGGAAAACCUCUAGCUACUCUAGGCAGCUGGGGUUUGUAAUUAUUACUCUAAUUAUUCAGAAUGCCUGUAUUUGAGUUUAGCUUCUGCCAUCAUGAUCAAUACUUUUGACUUGAUGGCCUUGUGAAAUUCUGAUAUUUGCAUUCUUUAUAUUUUUAGAGAAGACAGCAAUCAGAAAGAAAUCACUGUCAUGUUUUUGAUGGUUUUGUUUGUAUACAUUGAAGAAAUGUAAAGUCAGGACAAGGCAAACUAGGAGAAAGCUGCUCUUUCUUCAUAACAUUACCACUGAGUGACUUUAAUUGCUUUAACUAUAUAAAGAGAGAACUCAGACUUACAAGUUAUUGAAGCUUAACAAACAUAACUCAUCAGCUGACCUUAAGUAACUGACCAAGUCAUUCCCCUCUGCCCAUGGCAAAGGCCUGGUAAAAUAUGUUAGCUUAUCUUUAUAACACACUCCCAUGCUGCAGUUAGAAUGGCUUAGACCACACAGGUAGUAGUUGCCAUGGAUAAGCUUAUACUAUUCUUUAAAGCAUUGCUGUUACAGUCACUGGUGUGCCUGAGCCCCUGCUUAUAGCAAUAUAUUUCUGCUUGUAAAAUUCCCUCCACAGACAAGACCAGCUUUUGCUUUUAUCAUUAUUUCAAUCACUUUAGUGUAGAUCCAAUUACACAGGUAUAAGAGUGUUUCUACUGGCAUACCCUGGCAUCAGUACAACAGCAGUUAAACACAUAACUCUAGAAUCAGGAUAGAUGUGUGAAUAACAACAUCUGAUCAACAGCCAUGCUGACAAAAUUUAAACGAGAUCAAGCUUAAAUCUUAUCCACCUCUGACAAUGGCAAUGCAUGUUAUGUGCCAGGCUUACUGGGCAUGAGAGGACAGUAUGACCAGAAGCUGAUUCAGGAAAACUUCCCUCAUGCAUGUUUAAUGCAAGUCAGAGAUAUUCAUCCCUAGCUGUGCUGUAGACAGUGGUGUCCUAACCCAAAACCACAUGCAUGGCAGCAAUAAAUGCCAAAUUUAUGACUACCACCAGAGCAUAUACAUAUACAUUAUGGCAUUGUCUAUCUAUAACUAUAUACUGUUGUGUAUUACAUUUCCCAAUGAGCUCUGCAUUCUUUUGUUAUGUGAAACAGAGAAAUAGACUGUAGAUCACGUUAGAUACGGAUUUUCUGCUUACCAAAGCCAUGGGUCAAUACACUAGAAGGCAAAGGUGAAGUACUACUGUAGUCUUUUUCCACUUUCGCUUCUAUACAUUUCCUUGCAAUGUGUUGUAAAUGAAGAGCAGAGGCCAUGAUCUGUAUUAGACCUGAACUAAAACUGUCUCACUUUGGUCUAUGAAAAAAAAAAUCUCAGCUUGUAAUCUGUACUGCCAUGUAAUUCAGGUCAUAUUCUAUCCAUAGUUAAACAAAAUGCUUUACCUGAACUGAAAAUAAAGUAUGCAUUGCUGCUGAUAUAUCUGCCAAAUUUAAAACAUGAUAUUAACUAAAGUCGACAGCAUAAGCCACUCAAACAAGCCCUGAGGGAGUCCAAAAUGCUCCUUAAUAUUUAUUUUUCAUAUUUGAUUGCAGGUUAUGCACAGGUAAGUGUAGUACUACCCUGAGGGUUUUAAGUGUAACGUAGUCAACCAUGAUAAUACCUUCAGUAUCUCAGAAGACAGUUCUCACAAUGACUAAUAUGAAAUGAAAGCGAAGCUGAGUGUUUUUCAGACUAGUGUUAAGUUUCCUCUACAGUUAUUUUAGUAGGUUUCCGAAAUGCUUUUGGUGUUUGCCUGUGAGUAAGAGAAAAACAAAUACUUUCCUAUAUCUAUCACAGUAUUUUCCAGCACUCAAAGAACCCUAACAUUAACUUGCUUUUAUAGCCCUGUAAUACACGAGAAAUCACUAUCCUCAUGAUCUUCCACUACUUCCUGUAAAAAUUUAGACUGGUGUUUCCCUGUCAUUUACUCAGAAAUGAAUCACUAACAGUUAGCACAUAUGCAUGUAGUAGUGACAAAAGAAAAUGAGCUGGAAUUAGUCUACUUCAGGUGUUCCCGUCCAUUUUAACCUCUCACAAUGGUAAAACAUGGAAGAGAUAGUCACAAAAAUACCAUGUUUUUAAAGAUAUUUUUCUAAAUCUUAAUUAUUUAAAAAGUAAAAUGUAAUAUCAUAACACAUUUAAAUAUAUUCAUACACAUUAGACAGACAUUGAAAAACAGUUAUGUCCCAGAAGAAAACAGUCUUCAGGUCAACCCUACCAGCUCUGGCUGCUCUAAGUUGCUCAACUGCUUCAAACAGACCUACUUCUGGCUUAACAGUGAGCGAAUUUCAAGCAGAUUUGUAUUGUUAGGAUAGCACAGAACACUAAAAAGUAUUACCUAAUUUUAUCUCUAAUAAGACAAAAAAAUGAAAAAGAAGGUAAAGGACAAAGUUAAGCCUAGGCUUCUUACAUAGUUUUUUGGUAGGAGUUAUACUUGCAUAAUGGGAUCAACAAAAAUUAAUAGGCUGAAUCUUGCCCCUUUACUCCACACUACUGAGGCCUCACCUGGAGUACUGCAUCCAGAUGUGGAUUCCUCAAUACAGGAGAGAGACAGACCUGUUGGAGUGCAUCCAGAAAAGGGCCACAAAAGUGAUCCAAGGGAUGGAAUACCUCUCCUAUGAGCACAGACUGAGAGAGCUGGGGCUGUUCAGCCUGGAAAAGAGAAGACUGUGAAGUGGCCUGAUAACAGAAUUUCAGUAUCUAAAGUGGAGAUACAGAAUAGAAGGGGACAGACUUUUUAGCAGAGUCUGUGAUGACAGAAGUAGGGGAAAUGGCUUCAAGCUCAAAGAUUUAGGUUGGAUAUAAGGAAAAAAGUCUUUUACAGUGAGAGUGCUGAGGCACUGGAACAGGUUACCUAGAGAUGUGCUUGACGCCCCAUCCCUGGAGACUUUCAAGGCAAGGCUGGAUAAGGCCCUUGGUAUCCUGAACUAUCUGUGGUGUUUCUGUUCAUUGCAGGGGAGUUGGACUAGAUGGCUCUCAGAGGUUCCUUCCAACUGUAAGGAUUCUAUGAUUGUAUAAAUGAAGAAAUACAGUACCCAAUGCUAUAUUUUGAAUUUCUGCCCCUCUCAAAGUCUUAGUAUCAACAGAACGUCUUACCUUCUGUAUUUCCAGAAUUACAGUUCAAGAAGUAAGAUAGUAUACACAAGAAAGGAGGGAUGAGGCUCUCCUGGCUUUCUGUAAGCAUCUCUGGUGUUAGAGCAUACCCACAGGUUACAGGAGACCAGAUUCUGUUCUCACCCAGCUGCUGGUGGGAUGGAGUAGUUGCUUUUGUGUGGAGUUUAGAAGAUGUACUCCUACUGUUAAUUUAAUUUAAAUUCUGGAUGAUAGGAAAAAAGUUUUCCUCUGUCAUUUCUCUAACACCAGUAGCUUUAGAGGAAGCCAAGUUCUACCAGAAAACAUGAGAUAAAUGUAAUUCUGGUGACUGGAGUUAUGAUUUCUGUACUAAGUUUGUCUUAGAAGACAAGUGAAAAGAUGCUUUAUCACAGUUCAGCUUUAAAUUUUGAAGGCUUUGUCUUGUGAAACUAGGAUAUUUCACCAAAAUGCAGUUCCUUUCCUUUUAUCAUCUUCAGAGAUGAGUUAAUGGAUUAGUAUUUUUGUUAAUAUAAUUAUUACAAACAUAAAACUUAAUCUGGGCAUAAAUAAUAAAGUUUUGUUACUGAUUUUAUUUUAUUUUAUUGAGUAAUCCUCUCAAGUAUGUUUUUAAAAGAACAAGAUGCAUAAUGGAAAGCACUUUAAACAGAUUACGUCCAAAAUUUGAAACAAAAAAGUAUUGAAGUGUUUCAAGAUUACUCUUGCAUUCAUUGCUUACGAAAAAUCUGAAAUUUUACUCUUGCUUUUUUUUUUUUUUUUUAACUUUUUCAUCUUAUACAAGCAGAAUGCAUGCAGGCAUGCAUGAGAAUUAAUGUUGCAGGUUUCUGUGGUAUAAAGUUAUUCACAGCAAGGGACUUCAGUGACACUGUACCAAACUGAAAAAAAAAAAAAAAAAAAAAAGGACUAAAGUGGUUUGUUCUGCCACCAGGGCCCCUGAAAUGUACUUACAACCUUUUUUGUACUAUAGUAGUAACAUUUUUAAUUUAUGUUGCACAAGAAGCAAGUUAAAAUCUUACUUCCUUUACUUUUUUCUCCUCCUCUAGCUUGUCUUAUUGGUUACCAGCUUUGCACAGCAUUUCUUUCUUUAUUCUUAGAACUAUUUGCAAUAACAUUUUUAUAUACCACCCUGUAAGUAAGGUUAUGGAAGUGGUUGAAUGCUGCUAAUGAGAACUUUGGUCCUCAUUGUUCUUCUGACCACUAGUUUGAAGAAGCACAUAGUGUUAGGUAGGAUCCUACAGAGGGGACAUAAGCUUCUAGUUUUUCAUAUUUUACAUUUUUUUCUUGAAAUUGUUCUAGCUUUUCCCUUAAUAAGCUCCAACUUUUAUAAGGCUCUGCUUUUCUUUCUUAGCCUGUACUGUUGCAACUAAAGAGGAUGAUGCCAUUAUCCUAACCCAACUUACUUCACCAUCGUCUAACAGAUCAUGCAGUUACUGCACAGAUCAGUGCAGUACAGUGCAGUGAUCCCUGAAGCUUCAUCAAAGCAAUUGGAUGCUGGACAGGUUACUUCUGCCUUUCAAACUGGGCUAAUAUGAUCAUAUUCAGCCACACUAACCUGAUUAUAUCACUUUUAGACUUUAUGUCUGCAUUUCUGCACACUGCUGCAUUAUGGCAUACAGGCCCAUCUCCUUACUUGGUGACUUGUCUUAGCUUUCCAGGCUGUGAAAACUUACUGCAUUCCAGCGUUAAAUUUAUAGCGACCUUGUUUUGUAACAGUCUGCUACAGUACAACCCCUUUUCUGCUCUUUUUGCCCUGCCAUCAUGGCUGAAUCAAAUCUUGCACUAAUAUUUCCCCUUUAUAUUUUAUUAAAGUUAUUAAAAAUGUUUUUGCCCUAUGAGAAUGGCAAUGAAAUCUAGCCUGGCAAAGAGUGGUGCAUCCAAAUGUUUCCCAUAAUAAAACCAGUAAUUGCUAGUGAGUUGCAAGUCUCAGUCUAGAGUAGUAAAUAAGGAUUCUUUUUUCAUGAUUUAUACAGUCAAUCCCUAUCAAGUGCUGUCUGCACGCAUCAGAGGCAAAUAUCUGCAAACAAAUCGUGUAAUAGGGCAUACUUCUACUCUGUACCAACCCCAAAAUGCAUUACUGCACUAUUUACACACUGGGAAGUACAAAGCAUUUCACAGAAUUAAUUUCCUCUCUUUCAUGAGAGAGAUAUAAUGCAUUAACUGAUUUGAAAACAGAGUGAGUUUCUUUUAUAAUGUGGUCACUCACUAGGCAGGCUUUCCACAGGGUACAGGAGCUACAGUAAACAAUCACUUAAACAGAAGGAAGCUCUUCAGUGCCCUGCUAUGCUGAUGUUUCUAGAAAAAGAAAACAAAACAAACCAAUGAAACAAACAACAACAAAAAAAGCACCACAGAAACCAAACUAACACUUCAUUGCAUGUUGAAAAGAAAGCGUAAGCACUCUGCUUAGAAAGCUUUAAAGCAUAAUUGAAAUUCAACAUGCAGAUUUCUGUAUUAUUACAUUGCUGUGUGCAUUAGAUUAUUUGCUGAGCAACCAGCAUUUUAAACAUCACAUUUUAAGAACUUUGUGCUAGUACAACAAGAAAUGCAGAAAAAUUAGGAUGACAGCAGAAGUAUGCUCAGGCACACAAUGAUUCUUCAGCUGAAAAGGGAACAAACAGUGCAGUGCUAGCCUAUGUACUGUGAGAAACAUUUCUCCCUCCAUGUGCAGAUGGAGCACAGAUCACUGGUAUGCUGACAAGCAAAACUCAAAACAAAGAGGUAAGCUACAUAUGUAAUGGCAGGUAAGCUCACUGAUCUUUUUAACCCAAUGAACAUCUGAUGUGAUGUGAGAUUCACUAAAUUAUAUAUUGCAAAUCAAGGUCAGAAUGAAGGGUGACUCAGAAUUCUGUAACAGUCUCUCUGCUUCACUGUAUGAAAAUGGUCACGAAUUCCAGGAUAUUUUUUCCUAUUUUAAUCUGAUUUCAAUUGGAACAUGUACUUGACUACUGAACUAAUUGUACCUAAACACAAACGUGCAAGAAGUAGAAGGAAAAUAAUUUAAAUAUAUAUAUAUAUAUAUAUAUGUUAUUGUUGUUCUUACAUAAUGCUGAUGCUGCUGAGCACACAGGCCAGUACCUCCACACAGAAUGAAGGUAUCAUGUUCACUGCUAAGAGGGCCAAGAUGUUAAAUUGGCAAUGUAACGCUUUUGGCUAACCCUUCUUUUUACUCACUACUGUCACAGCAAAGAGCUGUAGUGGUAUGAGAUUGCAUGUGACUGAAGCCUUCUUGCUGCUUUGGAAGAUGGAUGGCACUCACAGAGCCAUCCAAAGCCACAGUGCACAGGAGAAUUUGAUCCACUGUGCAAAGUGUUAGCCAUGCCAAAUAAAAUUAUUAGCAAAACUAUCAGACCGCUAACCUAACCGCUAAAAAUGUGGUCCUGACUGUUGAAUGUGUGUGUUAGAUAUACAGUACAGAACUACAUUUAUUGAGAUUGUAAGACACAUUUUUUUUUUUUUACUCAGAGUAAGUCAUAUUAAAGAAAAGUAUGCACAGAGGAACAGUGUGUGAACAAGAGUACUUACACACACGGAUGUGUGAUAAACUCAUUGAGGUUUUUACCAUUCAGGACAUCCUGCAGGAUUCUCUGUCACUAUUAGCACUCAAUGAAAUGCCUGUUCUCUGAAUCAGUCCUCCAUUUAUCUACUAAAUCCUUCUAUUACAUCCAACCUAAAGAACUAUUUGCAAGUGGAAAAUAUAAUCUAUACAUUGAAAAGAGGAAUACAUUAUCUCUUUAAUAAGGACUUGAAAGAAAAUGUGAUCUUGGAUUAUAGCUGUAUUUGCCUAUAACUGUAGAUCAUUAGUAAGGCAGACAGUGAAAAUAAAAGAUUCCCUGGCAACCCUCCCCCUCUUCAAAUGCCUGCUCAAGCAGAAAAAAACAACCGCCCUGCAUACAUAUUCCAAUGAGCCACUGUGGGGCAGUAACAACAAAAACAUUCCUAAGCAAAACAAGGGGGUUUGAACAGCCAGUUUGCCUUUUCCGAGCAGAGGAUACAUAGAAACAGUCCUUUUUCUAUUAUAAAACGUUAUUAGGCUUUUUGGGAAGCAUUUUAUAGAUAUGCUUAGCUUCAGCUCUUUCCAGAACGAUGCCUGCACUGAGCUACUCUGAAGCUCUGUUACUCAUUUUUAGAGCUGUGAAUAGAGGCUGUAUGUGAGGUAUACAAGACAGUUUAAAACACUAUCUGGAUUUUUUGUGUGUGCAUAAACUCCUCUACCUGAGGGCUAAGUAAAUAAGUUCUUCUUGAGAGAUUAUUCUCUGUGCAGGAAUUUUUUGUUGUAAAGCAUAGAAACCUCUGAAGAUUAGAUAUUUUUGUGCAGUCUUUGUUCCUCCCAGGGCAAAAUCUUGAGCGAACAGAAGUUAUUAUAAAAAAUCUUCUAUAUCUUAGGGUAAAAUAAUAUAUUUUGUUCAGUUUUGGAUGCAACUUAAAACCAGAAUUGCUGGGCUGCUUUGGAUCCAUCACUUCACUUUUCUAGGUUCAAAAUAAGAUUAACAGUUUUGUCUUCUAUCUCAAGCAUUCUGUAGGUUUAAAAAUAUCAGCGAAAUAUGAAGAAAUUAGCUGUUUUUUCUUUUUAAAUAGUACCAACAGUGUCUGUUUGAAUAUCUCCAAUUGCAGUCUGAGCCUUGUAUAAAUAUGAUUUCCUGUAAUAUUCAUUGCAUAUAGGCAUUGCUCCUUAGACCUACUGAAAGUUGUACCAGAUGAGUAGUAUAUGCUGAAAUGUAUAGUCUGUAAAAAGAAGUAUCACACUUCGACUGAAGUGUUAGAAAAAAAAAAAGGAUCAAAUCAUACAGACAUCUGAAUUACAGCCAUGUAUCUUCAGUUACUCUUUGAAGAUGAUUUUCAUUUUGAUCUUAAAUCUUACUCGCAAGUAAUUAACAUUUGGGGAUGCCUGACAGAUGGUACCACCUUGUCUUUUGGGGGAGUCUCUUCUUGUCUUGACUUUUCCAGAUAUAUUCCAGACCUAAAAUAAUUUUUGGGGAAAAGGAUAAAUGAACUUACUUUGGUUUGCAGACAGUAACCAGAAAAAGCAGGAAGUUUCUUAUAAUAUUUAAAGAUACUUCCAACUUUAAGUUCUUCAUUUAUUAGAUCUGUAGGAUUUAACUCUGUAACAACACUCUGUUUUUACAAACAUGAGGCUAUAAAUUUCAUGCUAGUACCAUAAGCAUUACUCCAAGUACUUCUCUUUAUAUAUUCCAGCUAAUAAAUAAUAACGUCAAUGCUAUUGGUAGUCCAGGAUAUGAAAUAUGUUGUUUUCGUUCCAUCUACAUGAAGAUCCCUUACUGAUAUUCCCUGGGUUUCCAGCAUUCAUAACUCUCAUGUUUAUCUGUACAGUUUUCCUUGUUUGCUUUACUUUUUUCAUCAAAUGGAAACACUGAAAUUUUAUGAAAGAAAUGGUUUAGAAGUUUUAUUUUAAUAUUUCAUGGUCUAAACAGCCAGCUGAAUUUUCAAUUGAAGCCUUCAAGGCUUCAUUAAGCAUCAUCCCCAAAUUUUAUUGUCCCCUCAGUUUUCUAAGAUAAUUCCUCUGAUGUUCAUGACUUUUCUUUAAGUACUUUUUUUUUUUUUUUUUGAACUCUAGAGACAACGUUUUUGCUUCACAGAAAGAAAGGAAACAAACAACAAAAACAUAGAAAGAUGGUAAUACUUAUUCACUCCCACAUACCCUGAAGAAUCAAGACAGUAAUGAGAAGACACUGUAUUUAACCACUGUACUGACAGAAGAAUCAGUGAGUUUCAUAGCAGAAUAUUUAGUCUGAGGUAUGUGAAAAUAGUAACUGUAGUCACAUUUUUAAUUAUACUUCACGAGACAUCUUGGCUAUUCUAGUAUUAGAGAUAACAAAGCACUAAGCAUACCAAGAAAAGUUCAGUGUGCUUUUCACGUUCCAAGAUCAGUUUGAAGAUCUGCCAGUUACAAAAACAGUCUUUCUGCCUCUAUGAUACCUAACAAUUUGUGCACAUAGUAGCAUGAUUCCAUUACAAAAGGCAGAUUUGUCCUGUAAAUGGGCACUUGGAGAUGAAGAAAUUAGUCAAUCAGAAAAACAGGGGAAAAUAUUAGUAGAGUUUGCAGCGAUUUGAUUUACAUACUUUCACUUUUAAUAGACCUCUGUAUUAGCCCUUUGCUAAACUACUAGCCAGCCUUUCCUGUAACAGGCUGUUGUACAUUACAGAGGCACAGCCGAAGAAUCAAACUGAUAUUUUAGAGCCCUGAAUGUUACCACAUUAAUAGACUACAACUUGAUUUAUUUUUAUUUGAGAUCUGAGGUUCACUUUUUCAUUCUUUUGCCUCCAAACAUAGAUAUUCUUACUCAAAGACAGCCCUUCAAAUGUUCACAUAACUGUCCACUUGUGCUCUGAGGGGAAAGAGAAAGUAAAUCAAGAACGCCUUCCUUAGAAAAACUGAAGAUUAAAUCUCAGUCUCAGUUGAGUUCCUACAUCUUCCACUGCUUUACACUCUAUGGGCUGCAAGUCUGUUCUGAGGCACAGGUACCCCAAAUGUACAUUUUACAUAAAUUAAAGAACCACUGUGGAAAUUACAUGAAGUGCUGGAGAAUAUAAUCCUUUCUGAGUUGUCUGACACACUCCAGAAACAGAUCUCUGCGGGAAACACUGAUUAUAUAUACCAGGUUUAAAAGCAGAACUAACAGUUAAAAGCUUGUUGAACAACGCAAUGAUACUGUAUUUCUUAACUUGGAAAGGUGUUCAUCCAUCCUGCUCAGCCAGGAUGUUCAUCCGGCCCGUUUACCAUUUAUGAGACAUUGUGUUAGCAUUGAAUUAGCUUAUAGAUUGUUUUAAUAUGACUUGAAGCAGUAGGGUGUAUAAUUGUUUGAAUGUUCCUUUCCACUGACUGCACAGCAUUACUUCUUUCUGCACCUGAGAAAGCUUUUUCCUCCACCUGAACACUUAACGAGCAAAUUUCCAGACAUUCAGAAGCAAAUGCAAACAAUUUAGAACAGACCUUGUUCCUGCGAUUAAGGCCAAAAAAGAAACUACUCAAAGGAGCCCAUACAGCUAUGUUUUGUAACAUUUUCUCUUUUCUGUGGCACUUGUUAUUAUUUUCUUCAGCAAGGCACUGUGGCACAAGACACCCUUCCUUAUCCUGUUCUCUGGAGAGAAAAGUAGUUCUGCAGUCUCUGUACUGCAAGUUCUGUGUGAAUACAAAAUGUAUGAAGACUCAGUGAAAUGAGCAAUUUCGGUUCCAUUUAAUAUUCUUUAGGCUGCUGUUAUUUUCUGCAACAUUUUUUUAAGUUCUGUGUCAUGUUGUUGAAAUUGUGAGUUAAAUUUGCCACUAAUUAACAAGAGGACUUUACCAAUGAAACCCUGCUUUGGAAAUCCCUAUGACUGUGCUUUAAAUUGCUUGCAUACAUGCACUCUAUAGUGUAUUUGCAUCAAUGACAGCAUGUGAUAAAUAGCAUUAUGUGAGUUAAUUAAUGACUGCAUAGCAUAUUCAGAUCAUAAGCAGUCAAAAGCAUUACAAUGAUGUUUUUUACAUCUGCUAAAAUUUUUAUAAGCCAGAAAUAAAAGACUGAGUAAAGGUGGCCAUGUGGGUUGGCAAUUAAUUGGAAAAUCACCAAAGAUUACAUAGUGAGUGAAGCACUUACUGAAAAAAAACAAAAAUGAGAAAAUGCAGCCAUUUGGGAUAUCUGUUAUUAAACCUUCAAACAAAUGUAACCAUGUCCUUUAAAAAAAAUACAAUUUUGUAUACUGCAUUAGUUUGCAAUGAAUAUGACAUGUAGUGCAUGAGAAAGUACUCCUUGGUCAGUACAGGACAUAGCAAAAUGCCUAGCACAUUAAAGCUUGUGUGUGAAAUGUGUAUGGAUACCAAGUUGACCAGUGAGAUGACAAAAUAUUUAUGUUAUUCUAAAUAUAAAAUGUCAUACACUUGUAUCUACAUUCUCUUCCUUGGACAAUCUAGUUACUUGUAUUCUCUUCAUUAUACAGUGAAGUAAUUUACUAAGUCAUGAGUCUGUGUCAAUUAUAUUUAGAUUUAACAGAAGUUCUAGAAACUGGACAGAUAAAUGACAUUACAAGACCAGGUGAAGUAAUUAUCAAUCAUGGUAAUUACAGGUGUUUUAUUAUGUUUAAGUUUAUGACCUAGUAAGGCUUGCAACAGUCCUGGAAGAGAAAUAAUAUGAUAGAUGUCUUACAUAUGGGUAGAUAAAAAAAGUUUGAAGUAAGCUGAUCAGGGUCUCUGUAUCUGAUCCUUACAUUUAGGUCAUACUUCCAGCUAUGACAUCACAUAUGAUAAAAGUAUUCAAGCUAAGCAAAUCCUAUUAUUUAUUAAAGAGUCUCUCAGUAUAACCUUCUCUUUCCAAAGUUAGGAGGAAAAAUUGUAUCAGAUUCAUAAUAACUUCAGAUUAACUUCAAAAUAACUUUAAGCUCAAGGAGGGAAGGUUUAGUUUAGAUGUCAGGGGUAAGUUCUUCACAGAGAGAGUGAUGUGGUGCUGGAACAGGCUGCCCAGAGAGGCUGUGGAUGUCCCAUCCCUAGAGUUGUUCAAGACCAGGUUGGAUGGGGCCCUGGGCAACCGGGAGGUUGGUGGCUCUGUGUGUGGCAGGGGGGUUGGAACUUGAUGAUCACUGGGGUCCCUUCCAACCCAAACCAUUCAAUAAUUCUAUGAUUCUAUGAUUCAGGUAGAUGUCCAUCACUGCUGAGUUCUAUGAUCACUGACAAUACAGGUUUGCAGCAGUGACAAAUGUCAGAAGUGUCAUAAGAAUUGCCACAUUUUGGCCAGAUUGUAAACUUUGUAACAAAGCAGACUUUUGGGGGGAUUGAGGCACUGGAGAGGGAAUGGAGUUAUGCAUUAAAGUUGGCAACUGGCCAACUGUAAGCUUUAUUUUGUGCUAUUUGCUAAGCAAUAAGGAUACGUUACACAUGAGCAACUAAUUACCUAUUACUGUCCACUUAGUAACGCUGUAGUACACAGUUCUCAAAUAAUACUGAUACCUCAUUUUGGUAGGAUUGUCAUGAAAGAGAGAUCUUGUCCUCUUGUAAGAAUUUGCAAGGGAAACAGACCAGGAACAGGAUGGGAAAGAGGCUUAGAGUGACGUUUGAAUCAGACAGGAGAGAAAGAGAGAGAGCAAGAACUGAUAACACAAUUCAUGCCUCUAGGCUUCAACUAGUACCUCAAAUACUGUGUUACUUAUCCAAGACAUUACUGUGAGCUUUGUUACUGUAAACACACCAUAUAGUUACAACUGUUUAUAAGUGCAUGACAGCAUUGGGGAUCCAUUUCCUCUAAUACUUAACACUGAAAAAAAGCCUAGGAGAGGUUUCAGAAACAUAUCAUUGACACAAGGGAACAGAUAUCAAAAAAAGGCUUGGAAAUGAUUUAUUGAAAAAUAUAGUUCUUGCCAACGGAUCUAGACAGCUGAAUUGUAGAAGCAGCUAUGCUUUUAUUAAAAUAACAUAAAAUAAGAGGUAUACGUGGUUCUGGAGUCCCUCAAAGGUCCCUUCAUCUUCAUCAGCCUCCCUUCUCAUGGAAGGAGCACUGAGAUCUCCAAAUCACACAAACCAGCCACAUCUUCUCCUCCCCCCAGUCUAAUACAGGUCUGCUUAUUGCUAACACACCACUAUCUCUGUUAAAAAAAAUCUGCUCAAACUCCAUUACAGAGAGGGAUCUUAAAAGAUAAUAGCAACGAGGAGUUUGUUUGUAUCGGUUGUUACCACAGAGUGUUUGUUGAGGCAGGACAGGCUACAAAUGCCUGACAUAAACACACACGAAUGGAUUUCUCAGAGGUUGGCCUAGAUCAGCUAAAGAUAAACCACUAAUUGUAUUAAACUUUUUUUUUUUUUUUGACAUGUACCCUAAAAAAAUUCCAUAAAUAUGGACAUUGCUUGAAUUCUUCAUGACUAAUAAUAUUAAAGAAUGAGAAACAGACAGUAUUUCACAACAAAAUAUGAUUUCCAUUAUGAUUGGUGGUAGAUUUUUU